UCUCCAUCGUUCCUGCACCGUAGCAU
rnacentral:piRNA from 1 species